UUGAAUUUGCCAUCCCUUUAAGUAUUGAUUGUUGUAUAUCUUAUCAUGUAAUCUAUAGGAUAGGAUAUACUAAUGUCUGAUUUUGGAUCCAAUAUGUAAGGUAACAGAGUUAUGCUCUUUACUUUACUGAUCCUGCCUCUGUUUAUAUUUUUCUUAAUUCUGUUGCAUAUAUAUUAUUCAAUUCUGUUUCCUUUCUCGUAUUUUCUUCUCUUUUGGCUAAGUCAAAUUUUGUGCUCUUUCAACAUGUGUUAAUUAAAUUGAGAUUAAUUUCGAUACACCAUAAGUUGAUAUACAAUAGCAAAUAAAAGUUUGAGAAACAUUAACAGAAUUGUCUAAUUGACAUUGUCAUAUGAUAUUUUAUAAUUUGCAUAUCUUGAAACUGAUUGAGCCUUAGAAAAGAAGAAAAACCAAGUGUUUUUUGUAUACUGCAACUAUACAUGAUGUUCAUGUACAUUUCAUAGAACAGUGAAACAUAUAAUUACAGAACUUCGUUUUGUUACUAAAACCAAAUGACAUUAUUAUGUACAUAUAUAUACUUAUUGGUUUUCUUUCAUUCUUAGAAGCAGGAACAAGCCCCUGGAAGCUUUCCAGUUGUUC
rnacentral:lncRNA from 1 species